GGUAGUAGCAAAUACUCAAGUGAGAACCUUGAGGACUGAAGUGGAGAGGGGUUCCAUGUGAACAGCAGUUGAACAUGGGUGAGUCGGUCCUAAGGGAAAGGAGAAGUUCUUUCCGAAGCCGGAGCACUUUUUUUGCAGUGGAGAGAGCCCCGCAGUGACCGAAAGGGAAUCGGGUUAAUAAUCCCGAACCCGGACACGGAGAUUGGUCCUUCGGGGCCCAGUGCGGUAACGCAAACCAGCUCAGAGACGCCGAUUCGAGCCCCGAGAAGAGUUUUCUUUUCUCUGUAGGGAGAUCGAGUCCCUGGAAUGGGUUCGCCCCGAGAUAGAGAUGGUGGCUCCGUAGAGCAGUGCGGUUCUUUCUCUGUCCGGUGCGCUCGCGUCGGCCCUUGAAAAUCCGAGUGAGGGAGUAUGAUUUUCGUGCCACACCGUACCCACAUCCGCAGCUGGUCUCCAAGGUGAACAGCCUCUAGAGUC
rnacentral:rRNA from 1 species